UACGGGAGGCAGCAGUGGGGAAUAUUGCACAAUGGGCGAAAGCCUGAUGCAGCUAUGCCGCGUGUAUGAAGAAGGCCUUAGGGUUGUAAAGUACUUUCAUCGGGGAGGAAAAAACAAAACUAAUAAUUUUAUUUCUUGACGUUACCCGAAAAAGAAGCACCGGCUAACUCCGUGCCAGCAGCCGCGGUAAUACGGAGGGUGCUAGCGUUAAUCAGAAUUACUGGGCGUAAAGAGCACGUAGGUGGUUUUUUUAAGUCAGAUGUGAAAUCCCUGGGCUUAACCUAGGAACUGCAUUUUGAAACUGAAAUACUAGAGUAUCGUAGAGGGAGGUAGAAUUCUAGGUGUAGCGGUGAAAUGCGUAGAUAUCUGGAGGAAUACCUGUGGCGAAAGCGGCCUCUUAAACGAAUACUGACACUGAGGUGCGAAAGCGUGGGGAGCAAACAGGGAUUAGAUACCCGU
rnacentral:rRNA from 1 species